UGCAUUCACUACUGUAAGUCGCUCUGGAUAAGAGCGUCUGCUAAAUGACACAAA
rfam:Salmo salar isolate Sally breed double haploid chromosome ssa29, whole genome shotgun sequence.